rnacentral:rRNA from 1 species
CCACCACUUGGGGAUAACCUUGCGAAAGUAAGACUAAUACCCAAUGACGUCUCUAGAAGACAUCUGAAAGAGAUUAAAGAUUUAUCGGUGAUGGAUGGGGAUGCGUCUGAUUAGCUUGUUGGCGGGGUAACGGCCCACCAAGGCGACGAUCAGUAGGGGUUCUGAGAGGAAGGUCCCCCACAUUGGAACUGAGACACGGUCCAAACUCCUACGGGAGGCAGCAGUGAGGAAUAUUGGUCAAUGGACGAGAGUCUGAACCAGCCAAGUAGCGUGCAGGAUGACGGCCCUAUGGGUUGUAAACUGCUUUUAUAAGGGAAUAAAGUGAGUCUCGUGAGACUUUUUGCAUGUACCUUAUGAAUAAGGACCGGCUAAUUCCGUG